ensembl:lncRNA
AGAGAGCAUACAGGAGCCAGCCAUCUCAUAGCCUGAGAGCUAAUCAGGACUUGAAGGAGAAGAAGCUCCUUGAGGAGAAGGAAAAUGGAAAGGAGGCCACUAAUGGAAAGGAAAAUGAGGAGAACGGAGAGCCUGAGAUUGAUGAGGAAGAGGAGGAUGAAGUAGACGAAGAAGACGAGGAGGAAGAUGGAGAGGGAGAUGAAGAUGAGGAGGAGGACGAGGAGGACGACCUGGGCGGAGGAACGAAACGAGGGGCUGAUGAGGAUGACGAGGACGAUGAGGACGAGGUCGACCCGAAGAAACAGAAGACGGACGACGAUGAUUAAAAGGAUUGUUGGAUGCUACUGAUCCGGUGUAGAGCUCAUCUUCAGCACAUUUGUUGGAGCCAGUGGCAUAAAGGACUCAAACAUCAAACAUGGUCAUUUUUUCCCCCCCAAGUUCCUGCGUCUCACCCACUAACCCCCAAUGCAAAAUUUUCUAGAGGGAAAAGUCCACCACCCAGAUCCCCAACACGACGACAAAGUUCACAAGACGAGGAUUUGUUUGUAUUUUUAUUUACAUUUUAUAUUUUUGUACAUAUUGUUAAGGGAUCAGUCACUUGAUCGUGAUCUCCUGUGACCAAAACGGUGCUUCUUUAUGAAAUUUUACUUGUUUGACCAUGUCUCGCAAACUUUGGAAACAGAAACAUUUAUAAAAAAUAAUAAAAAAAAUUCAGCCAUUUAACUCUGAGCAUUCCAGUCAGAUUUUAUGUAUGAACUUUAGUUGUACCAUAAACUAGUUUUGUUUCGUUUUUGUUUUGUUUGUAUGGGAGGGCUAGGCCAAAGAAAAGGAGUUACUUUUCUUAUUGUUUUUCGUUUGCAUUUGUUUUACCUUGGCCUGUCUGUGUGUGUGAAGUUUGUUCAACAAUAAACCUGACUUUUAUUUUGUGAGUUGUACUUGACCUCUCUGUUUCCUUUGGUACAUCUCUGCUACCAGAAGCUUGAGUUCAAUUCACAGGACUGCUCGAGCAUCGCUUAAGAUCUUCACUAAAGCUAGUUUAGAAAGCCUGCAAUGUUGAUCUUAAUGUCAUCUGCUGUGCCUUAAAUUAUUAGUACUCAAUACAAGCAUGUAUGGGGAUGCUUAUUAUUGGGUUAAAAUAUGGAUAUAAUGUCUCUGGGUCAUGACCUCUACUGUAAAAUGUAAAAAGUUAAGGAAAAAAGGAUAUGGUGUACGGAGAUCUUUUGUGAGGAGUUUUGUGUUGGAAAUUAGAGCAUCGCACACAUGUUUGUGUUUGGGGAUGUAUUAAAUAUUUGAAUUUUGUUAAAGAUCAGUGCCCAAUAAAAUAAAGUACAUCAUAGCAGUUUUAAGAACAAGGAUGGCCUGUCGUUGACAAGUCCGAGAAUGACAUGGAAGACAGCAUGAUGAAGAAUUUAUUCUCUAGUCAAGGAAACUGUU